ACGGAGGGUGCAAGCGUUAAUCGGAAUUACUGGGCGUAAAGGGCGCGUAGGCGGGUAUUUAAGUCGAAUGUGAAAUCCCUGGGCUUAACCUAGGAAUUGCAGUCGAUACUGAAUGUCUUGAGUAUGGUAGAGGAAAGUGGAAUUCUCGGUGUAGUGGUUAAAUAAGUAGAUAUCGGGAAGAACACCGGUGGCGAAGGCGACUAUCUGGACCAGUACUGACGCUAAGGCGCGAAAGCGUGGGGAGCAAAAAG
rnacentral:rRNA from 1 species